UACGAAGGGUGCAAGCGUUACUCGGAAUUACUGGGCGUAAAGCGUGCGUAGGCGGUUUGUUAAGUCCGUUGUGAAAGCCCUGGGCUCAACCUGGGAAUUGCAGUGGAUACUGGCGAGCUAGAGUGCGGUAGAGGAUGGUGGAAUUCCCGGUGUAGCGGUGAAAUGCGUAGAGAUCGGGAGGAACACCCGUGGCGAAGGCGGAUCUCUGGGCCGUAACUGACGCUGAGGAGCGAAAGCGUGGGGAGCAAACAGG
rnacentral:rRNA from 1 species